UGGGGAAUCUUGCGCAAUGGGCGAAAGCCUGACGCAGCAACGCCGCGUGCGGGAUGAAGGCCUUCGGGUUGUAAACCGCUUUCAGUGGGGACGAACCAAGACGGUACCCACAGAAGAAGCCCCGGCCAACUACGUGCCAGCAGCCGCGGUAACACGUAGGGGGCAAGCGUUGUCCGGAUUCAUUGGGCGUAAAGAGCUCGUAGGCGGUUCGAUAAGUCGGGUGUGAAACCUCCAGGCUCAACCUGGAGACGCCACCCGAUACUGUUGUGACUAGAGUCCAGUAGGGGAGCGUGGAAUUCCUGGUGUAGCGGUGAAAUGCGCAGAUAUCAGGAGGAACACCAGCGGCGAAGGCGGCGCUCUGGGCUGGAACUGACGCUGAGACGCGAAAGCGUGGGGAGCAAACAGGAUUAGAUACCCGUGUAGUCCCUGAGCGGGCUGGCAAGGCG
rnacentral:rRNA from 1 species